GAUGAACGCUGGCGGCGUGCCUAAUACAUGCCAGUCGAACGAAACUUCUUUAUCACCGAGUGCUUGCGCUCACCGAUAAAGAGUUGAGUGGCGAACGGGUGAGUAACACGUGGGCAACCUGCCCAAAAGAGGGGGAUAACACUUGGAAACAGGUGCUAAUACCGCAUAACCAUAGUUACCGCAUGGUAACUAUGUAAAAGGUGGCUAUACUACCGCUUUUGGAUGGGCCCGCGGCGCAUUAGCUAGUUGGUAGGGUAAAGGCUUACCAAGGCAAUGAUGCGUAGCCGAAUUGAGAGGUUGAUCGGCCACAUUGGGACUGAGACACGGCCCAAACUCCUACGGGAGGCAGCAGUAGGGAAUCUUCCACAAUGGGCGAAAGCCUGAUGGAGCAACGCCGCGUGGGUGAAGAAGGUCUUCGGAUCGUAAAACCCUGUUGUUAGAGAAGAAAGUGCGUGAGAGUAACUGUUCACGUUUCGACGGUAUCUAACCAGAAAGCCACGGCUAACUACGUG
rnacentral:rRNA from 1 species